AGAGUGAACGCUGGCGGCAGGCCUAACACAUGCAAGUCGAACGGCAGCACAGCAGUAGCAAUACUGUGGGUGGCGAGUGGCGGACGGGUGAGGAAUACAUCGGAAUCUACCUUGUCGUGGGGGAUAACGUAGGGAAACUUACGCUAAUACCGCAUACGACCUACGGGUGAAAGCGGCGGACCGCAAGGCGUCGCGCGAUUGGAUGAGCCGAUGUCCGAUUAGCUAGUUGGCGGGUAAUGGCCCACCAAGGCGACGAUCGGUAGCUGGUCUGAGAGGAUGAUCAGCCACACUGGAACUGAGACACGGUCCAGACUCCUACGGGAGGCAGCAGUGGGGAAUAUUGGACAAGUGGGACGCAAGCCUGAUCCAGCCAUGCCGCGUGUGUGAAGAGGCCUUGGUGUAAGCACUUUGCGAAAGAAAGCACUGGUUAAUACCCCGUGUCAGU
rnacentral:rRNA from 1 species